GACGAACGCUGGCGGCGUGCUUAACACAUGCAAGUCGAACGGAAAGGCCCUGCUUUUGUGGGGUGCUCGAGUGGCGAACGGGUGAGUAACACGUGAGUAACCUGCCCUUGACUUUGGGAUAACUUCAGGAAACUGGGGCUAAUACCGGAUAGGAGCUCCUGCUGCAUGGUGGGGGUUGGAAAGUUUCGGCGGUUGGGGACGGACUCGCGGCUUAUCAGCUUGUUGGUGGGGUAGUGGCUUACCAAGGCUUUGACGGGUAGCCGGCCUGAGAGGGUGACCGGCCACAUUGGGACUGAGAUACGGCCCAGACUCCUACGGGAGGCGGCAGUGGGGAAUAUUGCACAAUGGGCGGAAGCCUGAUGCAGCAACGCCGCGUGCGGGAUGACGGCCUUCGGGUUGUAAACCGCUUUCGCCUGUGACGAAGCGUGAGUGACGGUAAUGGGUAAAGAAGCACCGGCUAACUACGUGCCAGCAGCCGCGGUGAUACGUAGGGUGCGAGCGUUGUCCGGAUUUAUUGGGCGUAAAGGGCUCGUAGGUGGUUGAUCGCGUCGGAAGUGUAAUCUUGGGGCUUAACCCUGAGCGUGCUUUCGAUACGGGUUGACUUGAGGAAGGUAGGGGAGAAUGGAAUUCCUGGUGGAGCGGUGGAAUGCGCAGAUAUCAGGAGGAACACCAGUGGCGAAGGCGGUUCUCUGGGCCUUUCCUGACGCUGAGGAGCGAAAGCGUGGGGAGCGAACAGGCUUAGAUACCCUGGUAGUCCACGCUGUAAACGGUGGGUACUAGGUGUGGGGUCCAUUCCACGGGUUCCGUGCCGUAGCUAACGCUUUAAGUACCCCGCCUGGGGAGUACGGCCGCAAGGCUAAAACUCAAAGGAAUUGACGGGGCCCCGCACAAGCGGCGGAGCAUGCGGAUUAAUUCGAUGCAACGCGUAGAACCUUACCUGGGUUUGACAUGGAUCGGGAGCGCUCAGAGAUGGGUGUGCCUCUUUUGGGGUCGGUUCACAGGUGGUGCAUGGCUGUCGUCAGCUCGUGUCGUGAGAUGUUGGGUUAAGUCCCGCAACGAGCGCAACCCUUGUUCACUGUUGCCAGCACGUUAUGGUGGGGACUCAGUGGAGACCGCCGGGGUCAACUCGGAGGAAGGUGGGGAUGACGUCAAGUCAUCAUGCCCCUUAUGUCCAGGGCUUCACGCAUGCUACAAUGGCUGGUACAGAGAGUGGCGAGCCUGUGAGGGUGAGCGAAUCUCGGAAAGCCGGUCUCAGUUCGGAUUGGGGUCUGCAACUCGACCUCAUGAAGUCGGAGUCGCUAGUAAUCGCAGAUCAGCAACGCUGCGGUGAAUACGUUCCCGGG
rnacentral:rRNA from 1 species